rnacentral:rRNA from 1 species
GAUGAACGCUGGCGGCGUGCCUAAUACAUGCAAGUCGAGCGAACAGACGAGGAGCUUGCUCCUCUGACGUUAGCGGCGGACGGGUGAGUAACACGUGGAUAACCUACCUAUAAGACUGGGAUAACUUCGGGAAACCGGAGCUAAUACCGGAUAAUAUAUUGAACCGCAUGGUUCAAUAGUGAAAGACGGUUUUGCUGUCACUUAUAGAUGGAUCCGCGCCGCAUUAGCUAGUUGGUAAGGUAACGGCUUACCAAGGCAACGAUGCGUAGCCGACCUGAGAGGGUGACCGGCCACACCGGAACUGGGACACGUUCCAGACUCCUACGGGAGGCAGCAGUAGGGAAUCUUCCGCAAUGGGCGAAAGCUUGACGGAGCAACGCCGCGGGAGUGAUGAAGGUCUUCGAAUCGUAAAACUCUGUUAUUAGGGAAGAACAAAUGGGUAAGUAACUAUGCACGUCUUGACGGUACCUAAUCAGAAAGCCACGGCUAACUACGU